rnacentral:lncRNA from 1 species
UUUUGAACAUCCGGACCUGCGCAGAAAUGUACAAUGUACUUCCUUUUCCGGUCUCGUUUGUAUGAAACUUUGAGUAAAAUAUAUAUUUAUCAGUCUAGUAUAAAAUAGGAAGAACGCGCAUACCAAUUUCAUUUUUAAUAAUUCCUUGAUAUGAAAAAACGUUACCUGAUGAUAGCGUUUCUUUGUUUACAUUGCAUAUGACGUCAUAAUUUAAAUAACGUCACAACUAAAAUCCCUAACAACAGAACCAAAAUCGGAAACGUUCCGGUAUUUCCGUUUCUUUUUUUUAAACAAAUAUUUAAGUUACAAAAAAAUAAUUCAUACAGACUUCGUCCCCAUUUACAGGUAAUGCCUGCCUCAUAUUA